AGACGAGUUCAAGUUAAGGCAGCUACGUUAGUCUUCUAUACACAUUCUGGCUGAAAUAUAAUAUCGUUCUCUUACAAAAACAUACUGCUUUGCUCUUAAACUCUGGUCUGUUACCUGCAAGUCCCAGUCUAGAACCAGUUCAUUCAUUGAGGUUGUGAUGAGGAGCUAAAGCAGAUGGUUUUGUCUUCUGGACUGGUGACCAUUUUGAAACUCCGGAUGUUCUUCAUCUCAAACAUUUAGGAUGGUACCGAAACCUACAGAAGCUACAUAUCACAAAGGUGCUGAUUCCCGUGACAAAAUUACCAUCAGUGCUACAGGACUACGUGGCAAAACACUUUUUUUGUGUGUGUUUGUGUUGUUUUUACAUCUCAUUAUGUUGACUUUUUGUCUGUUUCUUUUUUGUAUGUCAAAGAGUUCUAGACAGCAGAGAGAUUGAGGGCGCCGUUUUGUUUGUUGCGAAAUUCAGCAUAUCUUCAUAUUGUUGAAACUACAGCAAAGAUCCCAAGACUUGAAAACCUUUGACCUUAACUUUACUCGCAGUCAUCAUUUGAAAUUCUAAAUUUGUGGUAUAUUUUGGUUUGGGAAAUGAGGGGACUGCUGUGUAUGUGGUCUGUAGAUGAUACCACAAAUGACAGGCAAUAGUUGUGAGUUUGGUUUGGAAGAUAUUGAGACAAAUGCGAUACAAUAAGCAAUAAAGGUAUUGCAAUGUGACGUUCCACAUUUUAUUCCCACUUAUUCCAUCAUGCUAUUCUGCCAAUGUGAUGUCUGUGUGUCAAAGCUUCAGCUGCAAAAUUAUAAUGCUGCUAUGGAAAUGUAUUUAUCAAGGUGAUGAUAACUGAACAUUUUUAUUAUUUGAAAGUCAGCAUGUAACUCAACUAUGGCAUUCUUUGAAAAAUCUGUCAUGAAGUUGCUUUUCCAUAGAUUUGCAUAACAAUACAAAACAAGAAGCGCCAAAUAGUUCUUGCACAUGACAAUUAAAUUUUGUGAUAAUAGCACAGAUCAUGGAUCAAAAACAUGAUGGAUCAAAAGUCUCCCUUUAAAAAUCAUACCACGCGUCUGCCAGGGUGACCACAGAUUGUGAAUAAAAUAUCAUCAAACAAUGUAAUAUCAUUAAAAAUGAAAUAAAUAGCAAGAUGCACACAGGAUAAAACGCUAAAGCUUCUCAAUGUAAUCUGAAGUUGCUGUUCAUGUGAUUGUCAAUUGCAAAUAACUGCAUAUGCUCUGCACGAUUUGCAUGAGAGACCAACAAAUUAGAUUUUUUUUUUGGUAAUGUUCAUUUAUUCUAUUUUAAAUAAUAUCGGUAUAAUAAAACCCAAGCUACUUCAGAUCACUCUCUCAUUUGCAGUAGAAGCAGGAAGGGAUGUCAUCACACCUGAUAUGUGUGCAUGCACUUGUAGGGCAGAGCACACACACAUAGACACAUAGACAGACAAACGAGCAGAUCUGUGGAGUAAGCACACCUUUUUUUGCUCUGAGAGUGUUGGUAGGGUUAAUGCUAGAAAUACAAUUUCCUUGUUUUGCUGGUUUAAACUUUUGCUUUUGUUCUUCACUUGAUUCGCACCAUACCAGCU
ensembl:lncRNA